GACGAACGCUGGCGGCGUGCUUAACACAUGCAAGUCGUACGGUAAGGCCCUUUCGGGGGUACACGAGUGGCGAACGGGUGAGUAACACGUGAGUAACCUGCCCACAACUUUGGGAUAACGCUAGGAAACUGGUGCUAAUACUGGAUAUGUGCUCCUGCUGCAUGGUGGGGGUUGGAAAGCUCCGGCGGUUGUGGAUGGACUCGCGGCCUAUCAGCUUGUUGGUGGGGUAGUGGCCUACCAAGGCGGCGACGGGUAGCCGGCCUGAGAGGGUGACCGGCCACAUUGGGACUGAGAGACGGCCCAGACGCCUACGGGAGGCAGCAGGGGGGAAUAUUGCACAAGGGGCGCAAGCCUGAUGCAGCAACGCCGCGGGCGGGAUGACGGCCUUCGGGUUGUAAACCGCUUUCAGCAGGGACGAAGCUUUUUGUGACGGUACCUGCAGAAGAAGCACCGGCUAACUACGUG
rnacentral:rRNA from 1 species